rnacentral:rRNA from 1 species
GACGAACGCUGGCGGCGUGCUUAACACAUGCAAGUCGAGCGGAAAGGCCACUUCGGUGGUACUCGAGCGGCGAACGGGUGAGUAACACGUGAGUAAUCUGCCCCUGGCUUUGGGAUAGCCACCGGAAACGGUGAUUAAUACCGGAUACGACCACUUCUCGCAUGGGAUGGUGGUGGAAAGUUUUUUCGGCCAGGGAUGUGCUCGCGGCCUAUCAGCUUGAUGGUGAGGUAAUGGCUCACCAUGGCUUCGACGGGUAGCCGGCCUGAGAGGGUGACCGGUCACACUGGGACUGAGACACAGCCCAGACUCCUACGGGAGGCAGCAGUGGGGAAUAUUGGACAAUGGGCGGAAGCCUGAUCCAGCAACGCCGCGUGAGGGAUGACGGCCUUCGGGUUGUAAACCUCUUUCAGCAGGGACGAAGCGCAUGUGACGGUACCUGCAGAAGAAGCACCGGCCAACUACGUGCCAGCCGCCGCAGUAA